UGCAUCGGCCAGGAAUCGAACCCGGGGUGCCCGCGUGGCAGGCGAGCAUUCUGCCACUGAACCAAAAGC
rnacentral:tRNA from 1 species